GCGGCGGGAGGGGUGUGGCCUGUGCCCGGAGCCCAGGCUGGAGGCGGCCUUCAGCAGACUCAGGGUCUCACGAGCUGCUGUCAGGGCAGGGCAGAGUAUUGCGUCUGGAAUUUUGCCGCUUCUUGGUUGACAGAAUCCAAGGGUAUAUUGUCACAGAGAAGACUCCAGCCUGAUGUCUAUGGGACCUGAGUCCACACUGUGGAGGGCACAAGCUGUGGGAGGGCCUGGAAGACACGCCUCAGAGAUUCUCCCAGUCCUGCCACCCUGUGGGAGACACUUCAAAGGAAUCGUAAACUCAUGUGACCAGCAGGGAGGACAACGAUGAAGAAACUUUCCUGCCUAAAAUCAGCUGCUGUCCAGAGCUAGCACCUGGAAGGAGACACUCCCUCUCCUGGGGUCACAUCUUCACUGCAAGGCGGGUGGGAGCUCACUGCUGUGACCCACAUAUACUCCUCUCUCGGCGUCUCUAUCCUGCUGCUUUCUCUGACUGCAUCUUCCUCUGUUCCUUGGUCAGUGUUUGAGAAGAGAAUGUUGAACAAGUCACAUCCUUGUCACUCUGAGUCAGAACCCUCAUUUGACUUGGAAGAUUUGUGCUUCCGUUUUUUCUUCUUUUUCUUUUCUUUCUUCCUUUUCUUAUGCUUUUCUUUCUUCUUCUUUUUCUUGUGUUUCUCUUUACCUUCAGAGGAACUGGAGCUGCUCCUAUCUUCAUCUGAGGUAGAAUCCUCCAGUAACUGUUUUAACUGCUGUAUCCUAAACAUUCAAAAUUGAUCAAAGAACAGUGAGUUUUAGCUUUAACUUACAACAGUUGCUUAGAUAAAUAUGUCAUUCAAAAGCAGUAUAGGAUGAUGAAUAACCAUGUCACAAAGACAGUAUUUUUAUUUUUACCUGUUUUCUCAUUCUUCUCCACCUGAAUGCCUACUUU
rnacentral:lncRNA from 10 species